rnacentral:misc_RNA from 1 species
AUCGAUGGGAGCUUGCUCCCUGAGAUUAGCGGCGGACGGGUGAGUAACACGUGGGUAACCUGCCUGUAAGACUGGGAUAACUUCGGGAAACCGGAGCUAAUACCGGAUAGGUUCUUUUCUCGCAUGAGGGAAGAUGGAAAGAUGGUUUCGGCUAUCACUUACAGAUGGACCCGCGGCGCAUUAGCUAGUUGGUGAGGUAAUGGCUCACCAAGGCAACGAUGCGUAGCCGACCUGAGAGGGUGAUCGGCCACACUGGGACUGAGACACGGCCCAGACUCCUACGGGAGGCAGCAGUGGG